UACAGAGGGUGCGAGCGUUGUCCGGAAUCACUGGGCGUAAGGGGCGCGUAGGUGGCGACCCAAGUCUGUGGUGAAAGCUCGCCGCUUAACGGCGAGUCGGCCACGGAUACUGGGUGGCUCGAGCACUGUAGGGGCAGAUGGAAUUCCGGGUGUAGCGGUGGAAUGCGUAGAGAUCCGGAAGAACACCGGUGGCGAAGGCGGUCUGCUGGGCAGUAGCUGACACUGAGGCGCGACAGCGUGGGGAGCAAACAGG
rnacentral:rRNA from 1 species